rnacentral:rRNA from 1 species
UACGUAGGGGGCAAGCGUUGUCCGGAAUCAUUGGGCGUAAAGAGCGUGUAGGCGGCCCGGUAAGUCCGCUGUGAAAGUCCAGGGCUCAACCCUGGGAUGCCGGUGGAUACUGUCGGGCUCGAGUCCGGAAGAGGAGUGUGGAAUUCCUGGUGUAGCGGUGAAAUGCGCAGAUAUCAGGAGGAACACCAAGUGGCGAAGGCAGCACUCUGGGACGUGACUGACGCUGAGACGCGAAAGCGUGGGGAGCAAACAGG